GGGGAAUAUUGCACAAUGGGGGAAACCCUGAUGCAGCGACGCCGCGUGAGUGAAGAAGUAUUUCGGUAUGUAAAGCUCUAUCAGCAGGGACGAAUAAAUGACGGUACCUGAAGAAUAAGCCACGGCUAACUACGUGCCAGCAGCCGCGGUAAUACGUAGGUGGCAAGCGUUGUCCGGAAUUACUGGGUGUAAAGGGCGUGUAGGCGGGAAUGUAAGUCAGAUGUGAAAUCCCAGGGCUUAACCCUGGAGCUGCAUCUGAAACUAUGUUUCUUGAGUGCCGGAGAGGAAAGCGGAAUUCCUAGUGUAGCGGUGAAAUGCGUAGAUAUUAGGAGGAACACCAGUGGCGAAGGCGGCUUUCUGGACGGUAACUGACGCUGAGGCGCGAAAGCGUGGGGAGCAAAC
rnacentral:rRNA from 1 species